CCCUUAGAUGUUCUGGGCUGCACGCGCGCUACACUGAAGCUAUCAACACGUUUUCCCUCCCUGAGAAGGGCGGGUAACCUUUUGAAUCAGCUUCGUGGUAGGGAUCGGGGCUUGCAAUUGUUCCCCGUGAACCAGGAAUUCCUAGUAGACGCGAGUCAUAAGCUCGCAUCGAUUAAGUCCCUGCCCUUUGUACACACCGCCCGUCGCUACUACCGAUUGAACGUUUUAGUGAGGCAUUUGGACCGACGCAUCUCAGUUUAACCGCUGGUUUGUGUUGGAAAGACUUCCAAACUUGAGCGUUUAGGGGAAGUAAAAGUCGUAACA
rnacentral:rRNA from 1 species